rnacentral:rRNA from 1 species
AACGAACGCUGGCGGCAUGCCUAACACAUGCAAGUCGAACGAAGUCUGCGGACUUAGUGGCGCACGGGUGAGUAACGCGUGGGAACCUGCCCUUCGGUACGGGAAUAACGUCGGGAAACUGACGCUAAUACCGUAUAUGUCUCCGGAUGAAAGAUUUAUCGCCGGGGGAGGGGCCCGCGUCCGAUUAGCUAGUUGGUGGG